GGCACUUAGUCUGCAUACCACUCACUGGCAAAGAAUAUCCUGCUAGUAGGAUGCGAAGUGUCCAAAAAGAUUCAACUUGGACUGGACUGGAACUAUGCCAUCUGCCGCCUUCCUGGAUGUUCAGUUUGCCCGCUGCAAAUCCUGAGAUUUCUCAGCCUCCACAGUCAUCCUUCAGAUGGGAUCCUCUGUGUGGUGAAUGUUGUGGCGGGCCACCAAAAGACCCCUACAGGAAUGGAGAGUUGAUUUCCCUGUCUGCUGGGCAUCCUUUGGGAAGAUGACCUUUGCUCACAUUGACUUUGGGUGGCUCCAGCUAAAGAAAACUGCCUAACUCAGAUUACAGGUUUUCCAGGGGCAGGCCAUGUCCAAUAACUGGUCACCCAGAAGGUGAGACGCCCUUAUCACCAUUGUGAAGAACUCUUAAGAACUGUCCAGCUUCGAGCUCUCCAUAGGUGAGCUGAGUCUUUCUUUGUGACUGCAUUACAGCUUGCCUUCUACCUCUGUCCAAUGCUGGUUUCAUCCUCUCCCCUACACAUGAAGGUUUGAACUCCAAGCCUACCCCCACAUAAACAUCUUGAAUGCUCAAGAUCUCCACUCAAAAUCAGCCUAACAAGAAACUCAACCUACUCUACCCAGUCCAUUUGCUGCAGCACAAACAUAACCCUUUAGAGCUCUUGGCUUUUGACUCUGUAAGUAAACUUUUUAAUAAAGAAAUACUUAUACAAGUGAACAAAUUGUAAUGAUGCAGCUCAAUGACUUCUCAUGAAGCUCACAUUUCAUUAUAACAAUACUCAGAAGAGGAAACAGAACAUUAAUGGAUCCCCAGGAACACUUUCUGGGCCCUACUCCUCUCUAAAGAAGUGGCUAUUAUGACUUCUACAUAAUAAAUCAUUCUGUCUGUUUUUGAACUUGAUGUAAGUAGAAUCUUACAAUUUGUGCGCUAUUUAUUAUAUGGCUUCUUUCACUCCGCAUUAGGCUCAUGAGAUCCAUCUAUGUUGUUAUACAUAGUUUAGUUCUUUCAAGGCAAUACAAUAUUCAAUUACGUGACUAUGUCAUACAUUAUUCAUCAACCUCUGGACAUUUUUCCCCUCAAUUUUGGCUACUAUGGAUAGUGCUGCAAAUAAUAUAAUUGUAAAUGUCUUUUGGUGAACAUAUGUAUGCAUUCUUUUGAAUAUCCUUUUGUCCUAAGAGAAUUGCUAGAUCGUAAGUCAUGCAUAUUUUCAGCUUUAUGGAUGGCACCAGUUUUCCAAAGUGGUUAAGCCAAUUUAUGUGUUUACUAGUAGUAUGUGAGACACCUGGUGGUUUUUACUUGCUUGCAAACAGUUGAUAUGUUUUACUUUUUAUUUUAUUUUAUUUUUAUUUUUUUUAAAGCCUUUCCAGUGGAUGUGUGGUACUAUUGCAUUACGAUUUUAAUGUGUAUUGUACCAACAGCCAUGAAGCUGAACACAUUUUAAUGUACUAACUGGAUUUUAGAUAUCUUAUUUCCUGAAAAACCUAUGCAGAAUUUUUAUUUAUUAUUUUAAAAUUAUGUGACUGUCCUUUUCUGAUUGAUUUUUAAGAGACAUAUAUUCUCCACGUAAGUCAUUGUUGAAUGUGUCUAAAAUAUCUUUUCCCACUCUGUGGCUUACAAUUUUAUCAGUGCUAACUGUCGAUGAGUAGAAUUUUUAACUUUAAUGUAAUCCAAUUUUGUUUUUGCUAUUAUGGUUGGUAUUUUUUGUGUUCUACUUAAGAAAAUGUUGCCAUGGGAUAUGAAGAACAUAAAGAUAUUCUCC
rnacentral:lncRNA from 1 species